rnacentral:rRNA from 1 species
AUUGAACGCUGGCGGCAGGCCUAACACAUGCAAGUCGAACGGUAACAGGAAGCAGCUUGCUGCUUUGCUGACGAGUGGCGGACGGGUGAGUAAUGUCUGGGAAACUGCCCGAUGGAGGGGGAUAACUACUGGAAACGGUAGCUAAUACCGCAUAACGUCGCAAGACCAAAGAGGGGGACCUUAGGGCCUCUUGCCAUCGGAUGUGCCCAGAUGGGAUUAGCUAGUAGGUGGGGUAACGGCUCACCUAGGCGACGAUCCCUAGCUGGUCUGAGAGGAUGACCAGCCACACUGGAACUGAGACACGGUCCAGACUCCUACGGGAGGCAGCAGUGGGGAAUAUUGCACAAUGGGCGCAAGCCUGAUGCAGCCAUGCCGCGUGUAUGAAGAAGGCCUUCGGGUUGUAAAGUACUUUCAGCGGGGAGGAAGGGAGUAAAGUUAAUACCUUUGCUCAUUGACGUUACCCGCAGAAGAAGCACCGACUAACUCCGU